AAAAAAAGAACUUUAAGUAAAAGGAUACAAAUUUUAGUCAACGACACUAGACACAAUAACAUGAAAAAGGUAAGAAUCUCUUUUGAUGUUCUGCUUUGUGUGAAUCAUGUAAAAUAUUUAUUUUAAAUAAUUUCACAAGAAUCUUUGAGAGAUGAAUGACAGUUAAAACUCGUAUUAUUAGCUGUGAGAAAUAAAAGAUUUAUUGGUAUAAAUGCAGAUACCAUGAUAAUAGAGCAAGGCGCGAUAGCAAUGGUCUUAAAAAAACAGAAUAAAAACAAGUAUAUGUAGCAAUUAAAAUUAAAACAAGUGUAUUUAGCAUUAUCUAACAUGGGCAUAUCAUAACGGAAAACACGUUUUCAUUUCAUUACAAUUUGCAAUAUAACUUUGUGUUUAGGCCAUUUAAACAAUUCACUCUUGAUUUAGAACAUUAUCAAGAUGUGAUCAAUAAUAAACACAUAUAUUUAUCCUCUUAACUAUGAGUCAAUGUUUUGUAUGCACGUCGUCACAACUCUCCUAGACAGGCAUGUGCCGAAAAAAUACACUGCCGCUUAUUCACUCAAGGUCUAAGUAUACUCACAGAAUAAAGGAUAAUGUUUGUAUCGUGCAGACAUAUUGGCACUCUUUCUAAAUGUUCAAACCUCCUGCAUAAUACAUCUUAUAUUAAUGAAUCAUUUCUUAAUUUGUGUAAAGACGUCGAACAUUCGAAGGCCAUUUAGGUUAAAUGUCAUCAUUUAGCCAUUUGUUAAAUUUGAUAAUUAUCUACACAACAUAGACGUCAAAACAAACAUCUGCAAUGUAUAUUUUUUUGUGGUUUCAGACAUGUUGAAAUGAUGAACUGAAAUUCAUAUGAAACUCUAAGAACUGACGAUGUUGUUGAAAUUAAAAUGUAUCAGACCAUUUCACUUGACAUAUCUUCUAACAAACAACGUAUCUUGAAAAUAAACUUCACGACCAGAUAAACUUUGUUUUAAAAGAAGGUUUGACGUUUUUAGAGAUAUCAUACAGUAAUAGUAAGGAUUACAAAUAUUGAUGAAUUUAGCAUUUCUCAAGAUAUUAUAUGUACCUAUGACAUGAAGGUCAUUAAAAUUAAUGUGUUUGAAGGAGUUUACAUUUAUCUCAGAUUGUACAAUUAAAUGUAGUUUUUAAACUUUUUAAAUUUGUUUUUAAUGUAAUAUUUAUUAUCAAUUUAUAUUGGAUAACUUUUAAUAUGAAUUUUGUUUUGUUUACAUUCGGUUGUUGAAUCCGCUUUGUCUUUUUAUUUUACAUUAGAUUUAAAUUUUCUAAAUGCUACUUAUCAUGCAACAUCUCCUACUGAAAACGUAGAUAUGGUAUGAUUGCCAAUGAAACAACUCUCCACAAGAGACAAAUAUGUCACAGAAAUAAACAAGUAAGUAACCACCGUACGGUCUUCAAUAAUGAAUAAAGUCCAUACCGCAUAGUCAGCUAUGAAAGGCCACAAAAUGACAAUUUAAAACAAUUCAAAUGAAAAAACCUACUGGCUUAUUUAUGUACAAAAAAUGAACGAAAAAUAAAUAUGUAACACAUACACAAACCAAAAAUACUGAAAUACAGGCUCCUGGCUUGUGACAGACACAUACAUAAAUUGGCAGGAUUUAACUUAUUGGCGGGCUCCCAUCGAUCCCCCUAACGUGAAGCAGUGGUUUAACUGUACAACAUAAGAACGAAUUAUUUUUCUUAACUCAUCAGAUAGACAGAAAUAAAAUUGGACGUGGCAGGGUAAGGUAUGAUUAUGAUGCGAGUUUGUAAUUUCCUCUCAAUUGUUAAAAACACACGUGUUUGUACUUUCUUUGGGUGUCAUAACUGAUUUAUCAUAUAUAAACUUUUGUUCAAACAGAAUUGUUGACUAUAAGUCCUGAUAAAGUCUGAUUUACUCCUCCUAACCGGAAUUAAAAACUAUAGUUAAAAUAUAAGAAUAGACUACAAAAUUAUAACAUUUGUUCUGUCUGAACAAAAGAACAUUAAAAAUGUGGCACACCUGUUUCAAUAAACUGCUUAGCGGCUUCGUCAGUGUGCACAACAAUCGUAAAGUUAUGUUUAAGGCAAACAAACUAUAGUAAGUAGUUGCUUUAUUGGAUGUAAGCAUCAAUAUCUAUAAAAUGGAGAAAAAAAACUAAAACAUGUAUCAUUCUGACAAAAAAUGUGUCUCUUUUGUAUUUUAAUUUGUAUCAAACGGUUAAAACAUUUAAACACCAUAUAAUGUAUAUGACUCACUUUAUUACUACAUGGUUAUCAUUGAUUAAGUUGUAUCGGUUCAAUGAUCAACACUUCAUUGUCAUACCUGCAUAUAGAGAUAACAGAAAUUGUAAUUGGAUUUCGGUUUUCCGGACGAUACUAUUUUAUUAAUUCUAAAACUAUAUUAUCCAUAAUUCAAAUGUUAAACAAAGUGUGACAUCAAACCAUUAUUCUUUAUAUGAUCAAGAUGAAAUUUCAAAAAAACAACACGAAUCGGACAAUUUAUAAAGUAAUAUGGUAUCUUUAAAUGAAUCUUAGUAAUAUAAUCUUUAACGAUUAUAUAGUUUGAACACGACAGUACUUUAAUUGUACAAAUAAUUUUAUAAUACCAAAGACUACUAUUUCAUAUAUUAUACAUCUCAAGAGUAUGACACAAAAGACAAAACAUUUACUUUUAUUUAAAAUAACAAUUAACAUCAGAUUGCUUUCCUACGUUUACGAGUUGGCUUACAUGUACGUACAUGGUGUUAAAAAUAUUACUUUUAAGAGCUAGCACAAUGUCGGAUACUAAAAAAAAAUACAACUACUGACACUCUAAAAUUAAUAAUAAAAUGUUAGUUAUAUUUAGUACUAUAUUUUAUAAGUUUUGAUUUUAAAAUAUUUGGUUCAACAACAACAACAUGAACACACAGUGACAGAAAUGAAACUAAAACAAAACUCAUUAGUGACGCUCAAAUCUAAAAAAAGUUAAAAAGGCCAAAUAAAAUACGAAGUUAAAGAGCAUUGAGAACCAAAAUUCCUGGUUUUGUCAAAUACAGGUAAGGUGAUAUGAGUUAGGGUACAACGUUUAAUUGUAUUGUGGAUUAUUUCAAUUGCUCAUGGGGAAGGGUAGUAUAGUUAAUGUUUUAUCAACUUAUUAUUAGAGUAAGAUCGAGAUAUUUUAUCAAGGUGUUUUUUAUAAUCAAUAUAAUUAUGAUAAAUACCAGUAAGUUAACAGCUUCACGGAACUUCUAAACCCUCUUAUACUGCAGUCGACAUCUCUUGUAAUCUAAUUGAUGCAGAUAAGCCAGCAAUGAACCGUAGUGGGUAUGUCCAUGAAAAUUAUUCACAAAAGCUAAAGCUCAACAUUAAGACGUAUGCAUUCUGUAUUGGGGUCUCUUUAAAACAUCUAUUUGUAAGUUCCUUACUACAACUUAUGUGACAUGAUUGUCAAUGAGAAACCUAUAAACCUAAGUUUAAAUGAAGUGGAUGUACGCCAUUACAGACUUUCAGUCUUGGUCACUUCAAAAUGAUUCUUAGAUGUUUGAUCAAAUAAUUAUUUUGAGUUUGAAGUUGUAGUUUAAAAUGCCAUUUUCAGUGUCAAAUGAAAGCUCAUUUUGUGUUGAGAAAGGAAUAAUCACAACUAAAGCAAAAGGUCUUUCCACGGAAAAGACUUAAUAAUCAGAACAAAUACAAUAGACUAAAGACCUAUACGCGUACAAUUACCAUAAUUUGUUUUCUUUUACACUAACUUGAUGUAUCAAAUUAACAGUUAUAGUCUAUAUCUAUAUAAAAGAGAGGCGAUAUACAUGAUAGAUGCCAGACGGACAUUUCAAGAACUGAAACCUAUACAAUGAUAUGUUUAGAACCUGGUCUACGUUUGUGAAAAAAUGUGUUUUUGAAUAAAUGUGAAACAUGCAUAUUAUUGUGUAAAUGUGUUCAUGUUUUGAAUUUUCUAGUUUCAGUGCAGUAAAAUGGAUAUAAUGAGCAUAGAUAUUUUUGUUCUCUUCGUUUUUGCUGUGAUUUGUGCUGGAUUAGUAGAAGGAACAUGUCCGUCGACUUGCUCUUGUGAUGAUGAUUCGUCAGGCUCUAGAAUUAACUGUAGCUCUAAAUAUUUGGAACGCAUUCCCCCACUUACUAACAAUACGUAUUUUCU
rnacentral:lncRNA from 1 species